rnacentral:pre_miRNA from 1 species
UAAGUACUCCCUCCGUUUUAAAUUACUUAUCGCAGGUAUGCAUGUAUCUAGAUGUAUUUUAGUUCUAGAUAUGUCCAUUCCUGCGACGAGUAAUUUGGAACGGAGGGAGUAUAUG